ACUUUGUCGUGAUCCUGGAAGCUGUCUUGGUUUUUCAGUGCUGUUGAAUAUCAUUCUUUGUGUGCGAUGUUGUGUGUGUAAUUCCAAUAGAAGACGGAAUUCAAGUACAGAAAUACGUCAGUACCUAUGCCAUAAAGCAACUAGAAGAUAGUGCCAUCGCUCUGCAGCUCACCUGGAUGAAUACACCUGAAAUUAUACAAGAUUUGAUAUUCAAAUUUGUUUUCUGCAAAAUUACCGAGGACUAACUGAUGAUUAUUAUUAUUACACAAACCUAAAAUUCUCUGUUUUAAUAUAAAUCCUCGCAGAAAACCAGCUGUCAAAACAGUCUAUCCUAGUUGUUAGGGGCGACCAAUCGGAUUGGGUGGUCGGACGAGUGUAACGGCGGUGUUGAUCACCGUUUUAAAUAACAAGUCUGGUGAGGUGUAUUUGUUUAUUAAAACUGACAAAGACUUAUGGUCACAAAGUAAAUAUGUCGCUAAUUCUAACGCUUGGAACAAGGUGGGAACAUGCAUUCAAGGCUUCAGUUUCAUCGGAUCAAUAAGUUCUGCAGAGAAAACAAUCGCUUUACUUGGUAGUUUGGGAAAUCGUAACUUUCUUAUGAAGCAAUGGAGAUGUGUAUGAAGUCGAUGUCCCACAUGCGACAAUAUGAUCACCAUAGGUAUAAAAUAUUUACCAUACGUUGCAGGUAACGGGAGACGGAACCCAAAUACGGAAUCAGAAAAUCUGAAUGACGAACAGUCCAUGCCUUUACAAGUAUGUAAUUCUUUUAACUCAGCAGAAAUGAAAGUAAAAAUCUGCUAUUGGAUCUUGAAAUUAUGUGAUUUGAUCCUCUUAAAAGCUAAAAUGAUUGAAAAUCCAUACUAGCCAAACUGUAUUUUGAGGUCAUAGUAUUCACCAUUCAAGACAUCAGGAGGUUCAGUAUAUUUACAGGUAGUUUGCCCUUUACACCAAUUUGAAUCAGAUUCGAUGUAAACCUCAUCCUUCUCUCUAGUCACAGAGACAGAAAUUGCCAAGAUUUUGAAAAGGAUGUCCAGCUAAAUCGUGCUAUUUAGAUGCUACGUCCACUUGGCUUCUGAAACAGUUAGCUUCUGAACUUACUCCAGUGUUUACGAAGAUCGCCAAUCAAUGGGGAAAGUUGAAGGAUUUCUCAAGCCACCACUAGUCACUCUGGUGCUAAAGAAUUCAACCUUUACCCUGAUAUGGUCAAUCGGUUGCUGUCAAAACUUCCAUUUCUGUCUAAGCUGGUAAAACAUGUUGUGUCAGCUCGUCUUCAAGAACAUAUGAACAUCAACAACAUAUGUGAAACUACGCAAUCCGCAAAUGAAUGAGAAAAAUGACGGCCUCAGUCCUGUAGAUUCCAAGGGUGCCGCUGUUUUGGUUUGUUAGACCUAUCAGCGUCCUUUGACACUACAGACCACACCAUUCUUCUGGCCCUCCUGGAAACUCGGAAUAGAAGGUAGUGAGUUGGCAUGGUUUCAGUAAUACCUGACAAGCUGUUACCAAUCCGUGGUAGUUAAUGAUUCGAGAUUCAGUAAAACAUCACCUCCAACAUGAUGUUCUCCAGGGUUCAGUCUUAGGACCUGUGGUGUUUACUACAUACACGUUACCUGUAAGAGAUAUAACCAUAAGGCAUGGGCUAUCCUUCCAUAUAUAUGCAGAUGGUGCAUAGUUGUACCUUAGCAUCAGAACUCGACUAACUACCUAAAGGUAAUCGACGCGCAUUAGUUUCAGACAAUGUUACCUGGAAUAGUAUGAGAAAUCAAGAGAGCGUAUUGUCAACGGACAAAGCACGGAAUUGAGAGUUACCUUCCACUCUUCUCCGGGGACUGAGCGUCAUACAAAUACUGUAUUCAAGACUGAAUGUUAUCACCCGUUGGAUGUCGCAUCGGCUUAACAGUUGCUGUAUUCUGACAGUUGCAGUUUGCAUAGCUUCAAUUCUAGCAUCUCCAAAUUGCAAAAACUGUCUGUUUGAAAAGUGUGAUGAAGACGGAAUAUGUACUGACGGGUGUGAGCCA